CAUCAGCUGUGCGUCUCAUACAAAGGGGGAGACCGAGUGGGUUGUCAAGUGGGAAAUUAGACCAGAAAACCAAUGGACACACAGGCAGGGGAAGGUAAGAGCCCAGAUAAAGAAACAUUAAGUGCUCCAGACCCCAGGAGAAGACACAGCAUUAGAGAGCCUCCAUAUCUGUCUAGCAAAACUCAGGAGGUGAGGAUUGUGUUGCUGGGGAACACUGGAGAGAGUAAGAGCCUCUGUGGAGACAUAAUUUUGGGCACCCUCCCAGCUUCAGAAAGGCACCUCUCUCCACACAAGUAUGAGAAAUGUGAUGGGACUGUGGGUGGGAGGAAUCUUACAGUAAUCAACACGGCGGACCUGCUUAAUGCCCGGCUUUCUCAAGAGGAACGCUCCCAGGGGCUAAAGUGUUGCAUGAGCUUAUCUGCUCCAGGACCCCAUGUGUUCCUGUUUGUUCUGCAGCGAGGGGGACCCUCACAAGAGGACAGGGAUGCUCUGAGGCAGGUCCAAGAGUGUUUUGGUGAAGGAGGAUUAAAAUACACAAUGGUGCUGUUCAUUAGUGAAGACCAAGAGGACUAUGUCAGCAUUGGCAACCCAUUUGUAGCAGGUGAUGAAGCUCUUCAUGACUUUAUCCAAGGUUGUGGGGGCAGGUGUCAUCUCUUUAACAGUAAGAGAGGCCACACUCAAGUAACUGAGCUCCUGGAUAAGAUAGACGUUAUGCUGGAAGGAAACGGAGGAAGUCACUUCACUAAGGAUAUUUUUAAGGAUUUUAAAGACGCCCAGAGACAAGGAGAAGAGAUAAAAAGAGAGGAAAUAGCUUGGGAUCCAGUGUUUCGGAAGAGAACAGUUACCAUGGAACCAUCACAAU